UAGAGAUAGCUGGUGCUCAAGAAACGAAUCUUAGUCCACCCUUAAAUAUUUUUAACUCAUACAAGUAGCCUGAAAAUUUGAGAGUCAUUCAAAUAAGGUGCAGCUUGUUUGAACUAGGACACAACCUCGACAAAAGGGUAAUAACAUAAUUAUGUGAAAAAGUAGGCUUAAAAGCAGCCACCUUAUGAAAAAGCGUCACAGCUUUAACACAACUGAAAUCAAAUUCCUAAACCUUCAUAGAACCCUUCCACCUUACUGAGCAAUUCUAUAUUCUUAUAGAAAUACUUAUGCUAGAACUAGUAACAAGAAGACGACCUUCUCUUUAAUAUAAGUGUAAAUCAAAAUGGACAUUACCACUGAUAAUUAACGCCCUUGACCACCCAGUAAUAACAUCAACAAGAAAAUCUUACUAAUUUAGACGUUAAUCUAACACAGGAAUAUUUCAAGAAAGAUUAAAAGAAAAGGAAGGAACUCGGCAAACAUUAACCUCGCCUGU
rnacentral:rRNA from 1 species